rnacentral:lncRNA from 1 species
GAGACACCACACCCUCCAAACCUGAAGUUCAACGCGUGACUGAACUGAAUCUCCUACUUGCCAAGGCGGGAAAGAUAUGAAUUUGAUCCACAUCUUGGUCGUAGUGUUCGCCGCCAUGUUUGGCACCGCGCAUGCCCUACCGGAACCCGACCCCCUGGCGGAAGCUGGGCACGACCUCGUAGUCCGGGGGUACGUUCAGCCCCCCCGCUUUCACUACCGAGGUUUCCACAGGCCCUACCCCAAGUUCGACUGGGAAUAAGGGGUGUCUCCACGGACGCUCUGGCAAAGGGGAGGUACCGACGUCUUUCCGCCUACUCGUCCCCCUCCCUCCCCUUCCUCUGCUCCUCCUCCUCCACCACUAAGAUACACGACGCUUGUUUUGGUUUGAUUUAAUCCUUCAGGCGUCGCAGCUGGGGAUUUAUAGGAUGUUCUCGGCUUCUACUGUGGCUCUUCGUACUUCGGAUAAGGAUUGUGGGAUUUUUUUGUUUUUGUUUUUUUGGGAGGCUUCGUAGGAUGUGAGAAAUGGGAUUUUUCGGGAAGGAUUUAGGAUUUCUCUUUUUGGGAUAGGAUGGGUGGACUAGUUAGUCUUCGUGAGGGUUGGAAUGGGUGAAGAACAUAUAUGAAGAGAAGCCUAGUAUCCUUUUUAUUGCUAUACGAGAACGAAUCCCCCCAAAAAGCUGCUGUAUUUUACCUGUAAACUUUCAAAACACCUGUAACUGUAUUCCUUAUGGUAUAUGGACUUGCGGUAUUUUGCAGUCCAGACGAAAGAAAGAGAAAAUAAAGCGAUACAUUCCCAAGC